rnacentral:rRNA from 1 species
AGAAAGCCCCCUUCGGGGGGUAAGUACAGUGGCGAACGGGUGAGUAACACGUGGGUUACCUGCCCUCAAGUGGGGAAUAACUCUGGGAAACUGGAGCUAAUACCGCAUACGAUCCUUCGGGAUGAAAGUCUUCGGACGCUUGAGGAGGGGCCCGCGGUCGAUUAGCUUGUUGGCGGGGUAAUGGCCCACCAAGGCAAAGAUCGAUAGCCGGCCUGAGAGGGCGCACGGCCACACUGGCACUGAGACACGGGCCAGACUCCUACGGGAGGCAGCAGUGAGGAAUCUUGGACAAUGGGGGAAACCCUGAUCCAGCGACGCCGCGUGAGUGAUGAAGCCUUUCGGGGUGUAAAGCUCUUUCAGCGGGGACAAUAAUGAUGGUACCCGCAUAAGCAGCUGCGGCUAACUACGUGCCAGCAGCCGCGGUAAUACGUAGGCAGCAAGCGUUGUUCGGAAUUACUGGGCGUAAAGCGAGUGUAGGCGGUCUGCCAAGUCUGUUGUGAAAUCUCCUGGUUCAACUGGGAGGGUGCGGCGGAAACUGGCAGGCUAGAGUGCGAGAGGGGAGAGUGGAAUUCCUGGUGUAGCGGUGAAAUGCGUAGAUAUCAGGAGGAACACCGGUGGUGAAGACGGCUCUCU